rnacentral:lncRNA from 1 species
GGGGACAGGAAACCUUAACCUCUGCCUAGCCACUCACAGCAAGAUGAGAGGCAACUGCUCAGUGCGUGUCUUCAGCUCAUGCCCUCUUUCGCCUGUCUUGGCCCAUCUUCUUCAGGGAUGGGAACCAGCAUGAUGAGGGAGAAGUUACUCAAGGGGCCGUCUUCUUGGCUUCAGCCCUGUGGAAGGCCUAGUGGGCUUUGGACCUCACAGCCAAUCAGCUAGGAAGCCAAGACUGAAUAUGUAGGAGAAGAAUAAAGACCUGUUUUGUGUGUGAAGAGUUGGAGUAGGAAGAUCACAGGACUUCAUUCUGGCUUCAGUUCCUGCCUGGGUAGAUUUUGGCAAGUUACUCUAAAGUUUCUGAUUCUCCAGCACCUCAUCUUUGAAAGGGCAAUAAAAAUACUACCUUCCUUUUGCUUAGGGUUGUAGGGAGGGUUACAUGAGACAGAAUGUAUAAUUGUGCUUUAUGCACUGUGAAAAUCUGUGUAAAUGUUAGACUUGGCUACUGCUAUGACAUCAUAACUUCUGGCGGGAGAGAAGCCCUUUAAUGACUAGCUCUCUCGCUUGCUUUGUUUCUUUCCUGUUUCCCUGCUAUGAGGUUGUGAAUUCGUGGCUAUAAGGGUAUGCAAACUUGUACAUGAAUGUCCAUAGCAGCAUUAUUCAUGAUAUCACAAAAAAAAAAAACAAACAAAACGUGGAAACCACCCAAAUGUCCUCCAGCAGAUGAAUGGUGGAUAUUUGUGACUGUAUAAAUUGUAGUAUAUUUAUACUAUGUAAUAUUAUUCAUCAAUAAAAAGAAAUGAAGUAAA